rnacentral:lncRNA from 1 species
GACCUCUGCCAUCCCCUGAUUGGGUCUGGGCUGAACAAGGGGCGGUGUCUUGGGUCGGCCCUGCGGGCCGGCAUUGGGCGGCGGAGAAGUAGGGCGUGGUUUUAUGAAGUCAGUUCCGGUUGGUGUAAAACCCCCCGGGGCGGCGGCGAACGGGCUUCAGAUGCUUCUGGGUCGCGGUGGGGAAAGCUAGUCAGUUGGAGUGUGAGAGCUUGGGAGCCGAGCGCUAGAGCGACCCGACGAGGGAUGGCGGCCCCCGGGACCGCGGCCGCCGCGGCCACGGGCAGACUCCUGGUCCUGCUGCUGCUCGGGCUCACAGCGCCCGCUGCGGCGCUGGCCGGCUACAUCGAGGCUCUUGCAGCCAAUGCUGGAACAGGAUUUGCUGUCGCUGAGCCUCAAAUUGCAAUGUUUUGUGGGAAGUUAAAUAUGCAUGUGAACAUUCAGACUGGGAAAUGGGAACCGGACCCAACAGGCACUAAGAGCUGCUUUGGAACAAAAGAAGAAGUUCUUCAGUACUGUCAGGAGAUGUACCCCGAGCUCCAGAUCACAAAUGUGAUGGAGGCAAACCAGCCAGUCAGUGUGGACAAUUGGUGCCGGAGGGACAGAAAGCAGUGCAGGAGUCACAUUGUGAUCCCGUUCAAGUGUCUUGUGGGUGAAUUUGUAAGUGAUGUUCUGCUAGUUCCAGAAAAGUGCCAGUUUUUCCACAAAGAGCGGAUGGAGGUGUGUGAGAAUCACCAGCAUUGGCACGCUGUAGUCAAAGAGGCCUGUCUGACUCAGGGAAUGACCUUAUAUAGCUACGGCAUGCUGCUGCCCUGUGGGGUAGACCAGUUCCACGGCACUGAAUAUGUGUGCUGCCCUCAGACAAAGAUCAUUGAAUCUACUGUGUCAAAAGAAGACUAUGAUAUUUAUAAAAGUGAAUUUCCUACCGAAGCAGAUUUGGAAGACUUCACAGAGGCAGCUGUGGAUGUGGAUGACGAGGAUGAGGAAGAAGGGGAGGAAGUGGUGGAAGAUCGUGAUUACUACUACGACACCUUUAAAGGAGAUGACUACAACGAGGAGAACCCAACUGAACCCAGCAGUGAUGGGACUAUUUCAGAAAAGGAAAUUACUCACGAUGUUAAAGCUGUCUGCUCCCAGGAGGCGAUGACGGGGCCCUGCCGGGCCGUGAUGCCUCGUUGGUACUUCGACCUCUCCAAGGGAAAGUGCGUGCGCUUUAUAUAUGGCGGCUGCGGAGGCAACAGGAACAAUUUUGAGUCUGAGGAUUAUUGUAUGGCUGUGUGUAAAACGAUGAGUAAGUCCCGCCGCGCUGGCUCUUUGCAGCAGCACCGUCCUGUCCAGCGUUCUGUCUCUUUCCGGGCCGUCCUCGUGACUGCAUCUGUGUGGUGCUCCCUGCCAACUCAGGUGUUUGCUGUUGGUCGUUUCCCUCAUCUUUGUGCUUUCUAGAUCUAGGCUGUGCUUUCCUGUUGGCAGUUGUAAGCUCAGUUUCCAUGUCUGUGCUCAUGUGGGUCUGGUGGUGGGUGGUGUGUUCCCUCCCUGGCACAGCGGGAGAGCCCGGGGGCUUGUUCUCUCCUGCCUUGCAGUCCGAGGCCCCCAGAGGCUUCUGUGUUGGCUGGGAAGGCAGCCUCGCCCUCAGCUCUCUGGUGGAGAGGCACAGGGUGGGUAAGCAGAUUGGCUGAGUUCUGCACGUGCUCGUUUCUGGGCUUUGCCUCUCGUUCUUGUUUCUGAGCCACCCCGUCACCGGCCCCUGUGAUGCAUGGUGACUGAAGGGCUGCCCACUCUCCAAGAAGUGGCAAUAGGGAUACUUUGGGGAGACCAGAACAGUGAAAUACCAUGCUUGGUGCACUCUAGGGAGAGAGCUCUGCAGCCAAGUGGUAGUAACUCUUUUUCUCCAAUAUGCUGACAACACUGGACCAUGUAGAACUUUAGAAAGUGAAGGAAUUUUAGUUUAUGUAUUCUUUGAUCACGAAGGAAAUUCUGUGGUUCAGUUGAGUUGGGUUUACUUAGACAUUGGUAGGAAAAGUUUUGCUUUUCUCUGUGGUUACCCUUUUGCCUUUUUAAGAGCCUUUUUCGCUUGCCUUGUAGUACUAACCCAUGUGUUUGGAGAACCCGGAGGCCAGGCAGUGUUCUUGGUUCUGAUUCUGUAAGUCACGAGAGGAAGGAUUUGCUGCCUGCCCCUGGUGCUUGCUCUAAAGAUAUUUGGCUGAAGCUUCUGAUGGUUUUUUCAUUCAAAUACUUGCUUGUCUGUCUUUCCUUGCUCCACCAAAAGAUUUUCUAAAUCUAAAUAUGAUAUAGUGUGUACUUUUCGUGCUUCCACUCCAGCUGCUGCUCUGUGGAAAGGCUGUUUUUAUUUGAAAUGAUUGAAAAGGUGAAAAAAAAUAUGAGUCCUUAGGGAACUUUACAGGCAGAAACUUUUUUAUUCAGGAAAGAUGUAGAUAGAGAAAUUCUUGUGGUAUUUCCUGCUUUGUGAAACUGCUUAAACUAAGGGACAACAAAACAUUGUUUCAGCUUGAAGCUUGAGGAAUCAGGGGUUGUUAAAAGAUCUCACUUAACAUGCAGGCGUCCUCCUAGACCUGAAGGUUCAGGCCGGUAGUGCUGUGGGACCGUGGAGUGACAGCUCUUGAGAGCAUUGGUGGUGCGAGGGCUGCAGAACGGUCGAUCCCUGUGAUUUGCGGUGGGGAGACCUGCCCGGGAGAGGCAGCCUGCUCACGUGCUUGUGGCCUGGAGCACUUUGACGGCCUGGAAACAUCACUGUUCCAGUGGUCAAGUUUGUGCCCCUCCUUAAAAGGGAUGGAGGUGGACGAAUAUGCUGGCUUCGUGAGCUGAUCAUUUUCACAUGGUCUGAAGGACGUGGUCCUGGCUCGGAGCCCAGCGGGUCUUCAGCACCAUCCGCCUGGUCUGCUGCUGCGUUCCCCUUUUGUUCCCAGCGGCGGAGGCAGCUUGUGUUUUGUAUUAUCUUGAUCCAGCUCAGUGAUAUGAACCAUAGACUCCGUCUGCAACACAUAAGCCUUUAAGCUGCAGGCGCGCAGUGCUGAUGGCGACGUGCUUGUUGUCACGGAUGGACUUCAGUGCCUUAAGUUCCCCCAGCUGAACCUUUGAGUGGCACGGGGAACAUGGCUUGUGAAGCCGUGUAUUCUAUAUAGCUAAGCUGAAAUCAGCUGUUGAGAUCCUAUUUAAACUUGUGUAGGAGCCAAAUAUUCUUAGCAAAAAUAGUUGUAGCUUUUAGGUUUAAAGCUGAAUAAGAGGAGGUAAAUAAAUAAAAAGAUGCUCUGACA